GAUGAACGCUGGCGGCGUGCCUAAUACAUGCAAGUCGAGCGAACGGACGAGAAGCUUGCUUCUCUGAUGUUAGCGGCGGACGGGUGAGUAACACGUGGAUAACCUACCUAUAAGACUGGGAUAACUUCGGGAAACCGUAGCUAAUACCAGAUAAUAUUUUGAACCGCAUGGUUCAAAAGUGAAAGACGGUCUUGCUGUCUCUUAUAGAUGGAUCCGCGCUGCAUUAGCUAGUUGGUAAGGUAACGGCUUACCAAGGCAACGAUGCAUAGCCGACCUGAGAGGAUGAUCAGCCACACUGGAACUGAGACACGGUCCAGACUCCUACGGGAGGCAGCAGUAGGGAAUCUUCCGCAAUGGGCGAAAGCCUGACGGAGCAACGCCGCGUGAGUGAUGAAGGUCUUCGGAUCGUAAAACUCUGUUAUUAGGGAAGAACAUAUGUGUAAGUAACUGAGCACAUCUUGACGGUACCUAAUCAGAAAGCCACGGCUAACUACGUG
rnacentral:rRNA from 1 species